UACGGAGGGGGCUAGCGUUGUUCGGAAUUACUGGGCGUAAAGCGCACGCAGGCGGAUUAGCAAGUUGGGGGUGAAAUCCCGGGGCUCAACCCCGGAACUGCCUCCAAAACUACUAGUCUUGAGAUCGUGAGAGGUGAGUGGAAUUCCGAGUGUAGAGGUGAAAUGCGUAGAUAUUCGGAGGAACAUCAGUGGCGAAGGCGGCUCACUGGCACGAUACUGACGCUGAGGUGCGAGAGUGUGGGGAGCAAACAGG
rnacentral:rRNA from 1 species